rnacentral:rRNA from 2 species
UUAAGCGACUAAGCGUACACGGUGGAUGCCCUGGCAGUCAGAGGCGAUGAAGGACGUGCUAAUCUGCGAUAAGCGUCGGUAAGGUGAUAUGAACCGUUAUAACCGGCGAUUUCCGAAUGGGGAAACCCAGUGUGUUUCGACACACUAUCAUUAACUGAAUCCAUAGGUUAAUGAGGCGAACCGGGGGAACUGAAACAUCUAAGUACCCCGAGGAAAAGAAAUCAACCGAGAUUCCCCCAGUAGCGGCGAGCGAACGGGGAGCAGCCCAGAGCCUGAAUCAGUGUGUGUGUUAGUGGAAGCGUCUGGAAAGGCGCGCGAUACAGGGUGACAGCCCCGUACACAAAAAUGCACAUGCUGUGAGCUCGAUGAGUAGGGCGGGACACGUGGUAUCCUGUCUGAAUAUGGGGGGACCAUCCUCCAAGGCUAAAUACUCCUGACUGACCGAUAGUGAACCAGUACCGUGAGGGAAAGGCGAAAAGAACCCCGGCGAGGGGAGUGAAAAAGAACCUGAAACCGUGUACGUACAAGCAGUGGGAGCACGCUUAGGCGUGUGACUGCGUACCUUUUGUAUAAUGGGUCAGCGACUUAUAUUCUGUAGCAAGGUUAACCGAAUAGGGGAGCCGAAGGGAAACCGAGUCUUAACUGGGCGUUAAGUUGCAGGGUAUAGACCCGAAACCCGGUGAUCUAGCCAUGGGCAGGUUGAAGGUUGGGUAACACUAACUGGAGGACCGAACCGACUAAUGUUGAAAAAUUAGCGGAUGACUUGUGGCUGGGGGUGAAAGGCCAAUCAAACCGGGAGAUAGCUGGUUCUCCCCGAAAGCUAUUUAGGUAGCGCCUCGUGAAUUCAUCUCCGGGGGUAGAGCACUGUUUCGGCAAGGGGGUCAUCCCGACUUACCAACCCGAUGCAAACUGCGAAUACCGGAGAAUGUUAUCACGGGAGACACACGGCGGGUGCUAACGUCCGUCGUGAAGAGGGAAACAACCCAGACCGCCAGCUAAGGUCCCAAAGUCAUGGUUAAGUGGGAAACGAUGUGGGAAGGCCCAGACAGCCAGGAUGUUGGCUUAGAAGCAGCCAUCAUUUAAAGAAAGCGUAAUAGCUCACUGGUCGAGUCGGCCUGCGCGGAAGAUGUAACGGGGCUAAACCAUGCACCGAAGCUGCGGCAGCGACGCUUAUGCGUUGUUGGGUAGGGGAGCGUUCUGUAAGCCUGUGAAGGUGUGCUGUGAGGCAUGCUGGAGGUAUCAGAAGUGCGAAUGCUGACAUAAGUAACGAUAAAGCGGGUGAAAAGCCCGCUCGCCGGAAGACCAAGGGUUCCUGUCCAACGUUAAUCGGGGCAGGGUGAGUCGACCCCUAAGGCGAGGCCGAAAGGCGUAGUCGAUGGGAAACAGGUUAAUAUUCCUGUACUUGGUGUUACUGCGAAGGGGGGACGGAGAAGGCUAUGUUGGCCGGGCGACGGUUGUCCCGGUUUAAGCGUGUAGGCUGGUUUUCCAGGCAAAUCCGGAAAAUCAAGGCUGAGGCGUGAUGACGAGGCACUACGGUGCUGAAGCAACAAAUGCCCUGCUUCCAGGAAAAGCCUCUAAGCAUCAGGUAACAUCAAAUCGUACCCCAAACCGACACAGGUGGUCAGGUAGAGAAUACCAAGGCGCUUGAGAGAACUCGGGUGAAGGAACUAGGCAAAAUGGUGCCGUAACUUCGGGAGAAGGCACGCUGAUAUGUAGGUGAAGUCCCUCGCGGAUGGAGCUGAAAUCAGUCGAAGAUACCAGCUGGCUGCAACUGUUUAUUAAAAACACAGCACUGUGCAAACACGAAAGUGGACGUAUACGGUGUGACGCCUGCCCGGUGCCGGAAGGUUAAUUGAUGGGGUUAGCGCAAGCGAAGCUCUUGAUCGAAGCCCCGGUAAACGGCGGCCGUAACUAUAACGGUCCUAAGGUAGCGAAAUUCCUUGUCGGGUAAGUUCCGACCUGCACGAAUGGCGUAAUGAUGGCCAGGCUGUCUCCACCCGAGACUCAGUGAAAUUGAACUCGCUGUGAAGAUGCAGUGUACCCGCGGCAAGACGGAAAGACCCCGUGAACCUUUACUAUAGCUUGACACUGAACAUUGAGCCUUGAUGUGUAGGAUAGGUGGGAGGCUUUGAAGUGUGGACGCCAGUCUGCAUGGAGCCGACCUUGAAAUACCACCCUUUAAUGUUUGAUGUUCUAACGUUGACCCGUAAUCCGGGUUGCGGACAGUGUCUGGUGGGUAGUUUGACUGGGGCGGUCUCCUCCUAAAGAGUAACGGAGGAGCACGAAGGUUGGCUAAUCCUGGUCGGACAUCAGGAGGUUAGUGCAAUGGCAUAAGCCAGCUUGACUGCGAGCGUGACGGCGCGAGCAGGUGCGAAAGCAGGUCAUAGUGAUCCGGUGGUUCUGAAUGGAAGGGCCAUCGCUCAACGGAUAAAAGGUACUCCGGGGAUAACAGGCUGAUACCGCCCAAGAGUUCAUAUCGACGGCGGUGUUUGGCACCUCGAUGUCGGCUCAUCACAUCCUGGGGCUGAAGUAGGUCCCAAGGGUAUGGCUGUUCGCCAUUUAAAGUGGUACGCGAGCUGGGUUUAGAACGUCGUGAGACAGUUCGGUCCCUAUCUGCCGUGGGCGCUGGAGAACUGAGGGGGGCUGCUCCUAGUACGAGAGGACCGGAGUGGACGCAUCACUGGUGUUCGGGUUGUCAUGCCAAUGGCACUGCCCGGUAGCUAAAUGCGGAAGAGAUAAGUGCUGAAAGCAUCUAAGCACGAAACUUGCCCCGAGAUGAGUUCUCCCUGACUCCUUGAGAGUCCUGAAGGAACGUUGAAGACGACGACGUUGAUAGGCCGGGUGUGUAAGCGCAGCGAUGCGUUGAGCUAACCGGUACUAAUGAACCGUGAGGCUUAACCUU